CGGCGACGGCGCGUGGCGGAGUGAGUGAGAGUGUGAGGGGGAGAGUGAGGACGCGCGCGAGCCGUGUACGGAUAAGGUGCCCCGUAGUAGUAGCGCUGGUUCUUAACCACCGCUACUGCUAAGUACAAUAGCAGUAGCGCUUUAGAUGAACAACCGCUACUGCUAUUCUCAUUAGUAGUAGCAUUUUUGCAGAACCAGCGCUACUACUAAGGCUACUGCUAUUGAUCAUUAGCAUGUAAAAAAAACAUUGGUCAUCAUUGAUUUUUUUGUGUAGAAUCUAAAUUGUCAGUGUGAAUCUUCGCCGGUUUAGGAACCGGCGAAGAUUCAUAUUGCCACAGAUCCUACACAUAGAGUACAAUGAAGACCAAGUGAUUGUGAUAGUUUAAGAAGCACCAUAUUUAAGGUGGUAAACAUUCUGUUCGCGGAGCGAGGUGGGACUAAAGUUUGGUCUUAUUAGGAGGGGACUGAAUUUAGCAGUAGCGCUGGUUAGAGGAAAGCGCUAUUGCUAAGUUCAAUAGCAGUAGCGCUUUUAAUGUAUGAGCGCUACUAGUAUACCUAGCCUACCUGCAACGGUCUGACAAUUAUAGUAGUAACGUGUUUUCUAUCUACAGCGCUACUGCUAUGUGCAUAGUAGCAGCGCUCGUUUUGCCCAAGAACUACUGCUGAGCUCCUGUGUAUAAGCAUUUCCCUAAUAGUGUUUCUAUGCGAUCUAGAUUGGAUAUUGGAUAGAUAGAGCAAACGCGCCAAAAAAGUAAACGAACCAAUUCAUGCUAUUAAGUCAGUGAGGCGAUAAGUACUCAAGGAUGUGCAAUAAUUGUUCCAUUAAUUCCCUAAUAUUAGGAUGGUAUUUAAUUACCACCAUAAAACUCAGGAUGACUUAGCGUGCUCGCCCUAUAUAAACGCCUGCAAAUCGGUUUACUCAUCAACACAUUUGGUAGAUCAGAUCAAACGGUAAAAAGAAGAGGGUACCAGUACAUAGCUAGCAUUGUAUUUUGUGAUGGCGAUUAGUAAGAGCAAUGCAAGCUUUGUAUGCUGGGCGGCCCUGAUGUUGGUGAUGGCCACUCUGAUGUUGUCAUGUGAUGCUGAUCCAAAAGAAUCAUGCGAUUUGAUUGAAGAUGGAUGCAACGAAGCCCAGUGUAGGGACUAUUGUAGGAUCAUUGGUCACACCAAGGGAUCUUGCCGGGAAGCCGAGUAUUGUUGUUGUUUGAUUGCCGCAAAGCCCAAGGUGCAUCAUCGUGAUUGAGCUUCUAUGAACAUUAUUUUAUUAGAUAUAUAGCAAAAGAGCCCUUGUAACGGGUACAAAAUAAAUAAAUUUUAUGCAGAAACAUUUAA